CUUUGCCUUUCAUCCUUUCGAGGUCGGUAAAAUAAGUGCCAGAUCGGCAUCCUUAUGAUUCACAGACGAUUUAUUAUGGGUGUUUCAGAAAGAUGUUUCAGUUUGAUGUUUCUGUCUUCCUGUGAACCAAUUAAGUAUUGUUCGGAUUCCACCAACAAAUGUAUAAGGAAUUCACAGCAAGUAUAAAUAUCAUCACAGAGAGACUUGUCUCUUUGAAAUAUGUACUCCUACGAUAGUUUAUCACACCAGUGACAAUACAACCACUUCCUGUAUCUAACUUUAUUCUCUCAAAGACACAAGAAUCACCAAGUAUUGAACUCCCAAAAUGAGGCUAGGUUUUCUAUAAUCCUGAUUAUGAUCUCUGGAACUUUAGAAAAUCAAAUAGUUUCCAGGAUACACGAGUGGAGAACAGACCCGAAUGCUUUUGUUAUGAGGCAACCUGACCGGAACUAAGUUUCUCCAAUGUCAUUACACCUCUGAUACACCCUUUAAUAAUUUCUCCUCACAUUCCUCAGUUUUUCAUUUAUCAGUAAAUGUAGUGAUGUUGUUACUAUCACACUGAAGCAAGAGGAAUCAGUUCAGACAGGCUGUCAAUAUUUCCUACAUUAAAUUCUAGCAUGUAAUUGAUCCGUAAUUCUUCGCCAUGCUUAUGAGCUUUUUUUCUUUUUUUCUUUUCUUUCUUUUUCAGCCAGACUUGUUUCAACCAAUAUCAGCCUUUUUGGUGCAUUUAUAUCUCUACUGAAAUCUUCCUUGUGAAAGUCAAUAAAAUACCCUCGAGAGGAGGUACAUAUAUUUUUGUAUCAAUAGCCAGCAAUCAAGUCUCUUCUUGGUGAUUUUUUUUUUUAUCCUGAAGUAUUUCUCUUAUAGUCUGUCUCAAAAAUAUCACCAUUGAUUCGCCAUAAUUUUGAUGCAAUUCACAAACAAUAUUUCAUCCAAUUUCUUCCAUCCCCACAACAUCCUGGUCAAAUUUCUGUCUUUCACUCCAGAUUUUUUUCUAAAAUGAUACUGCACCUUCCUAAGAAGGUGUUUCUGAACUUCAUUUCUCUCAUAUCUUAGUAAACUCUGAAUGA
rnacentral:lncRNA from 1 species